GACGAACGCUGGCGGCGUGCUUAACACAUGCAAGUCGAACGGGAAGGGCCUGUAUCUGUGCGGUGCUCGACGGGCGAACGAGUGAGUAACACCUUAGUAACCUGACCCUGACCUCGGGAUAAAAUCCAGAAAAUGGGGCUAAUACCGCAUAGGAUCUCCUGCAGCAUGGAGGGGGGUGGAACGCUUCGGCGGUUGGGGAUGGACCCCCGGCUCAUCGGCGUGGUGGUGGGGUAGUGGCUUACCAAGGCUUUGACGGGUAGCCGGCCUGGGAGGGUGACCGGCCACAUUGGGACUGAGAUCCGGCCCAGACGCCUACGGGAGGCAGCAGUGGGGAAUAUUGCACAAUGGGCGGAAGCCUGAUGCCGCAACGCCGCGUGCGGGAUGCCGGCCGUCGGGUUGUAAACCGCUUUCGCCUGUGACGAGGCGUGAGUGACGGUAAUGGGUAAAGAAGCACCGGCUAACUACGUG
rnacentral:rRNA from 1 species